GGGGAAGUGAGCUUAGGCAGCAGGGAGAGAGUGAGCACUUCCUCAGCCUGCAGCCAGAAUCUGCUACCUAACAGAAAAAGGACAGUGGGAUUUUCCGUGCAACAGAGACUGAGUGUGACUGCUGGGGGAGAAAGCAGGCGGAGAGAUUAGACAUGUCUGAUGCUGACAGAAAGCAUGUUUGUGCUUAAUACAUUGGAGAAAUUGUUCAGGAGCAAUCCAGCCGUGUGAAAAUAUGACCCUUGAAAUACUGCCAAGGGCCAGCUUGCGGAAGAAGGAAUUGUGGCUCUUCCUGCCUGCAAA
rnacentral:lncRNA from 1 species